rnacentral:lncRNA from 1 species
AUGUGCAAGGCUGGAAUGAACAUGAGGUGCUGUUUCCUUCCUUUCUGGUGACUCGGCUGUGUGGGGAGCUGGGGAUAGAGACCUGUCACCCAGAGGGUUCUUUCCCCAAAGCAUAAACAGUCGUCUUUCUGCUGAAGCCGACGUAGCUUCUCUGAACAGACGCAUCCAGCUGGUUGAGGAAGAGUUGGAUCGUGCCCAGGAGCGUCUGGCAACAGCUUUGCAGAAGCUGGAGGAAGCUGAGAAGGCAGCAGAUGAGAGUGAGAGAGGCAUGAAAGUCAUUGAGAGUCGAGCC